UACAGAGGGUGCGGGCGUUAAUCGGAAUUACUGGGCGUAAAGCGCACGUAGGGGGCGACGUAAGUCGGGUGUGAAAGCCCCGGGCUCAACCUGGGAAUUGCAUUCGAGACUGCAUUGCUGGAGUACGGAAGAGGAGGACGGAAUUCCCGGUGUAGCGGUGAAAUGCGUAGAUAUCGGGAGGAACAUCAGUGGCUAAGGCGGCCCUCUGGUCCAGUACUGACACUCAAGUGCGAAAGCGUGGGGAGCAAACAGG
rnacentral:rRNA from 1 species